UACGUAGGGAGCAAGCGUUGUCCGGAAUCAUUGGGCGUAAAGCGCGCGUAGGUGGCUUCAUAAGUCCGUUGUGAAAGUCAAAAGGCUCAACCUUUUGAAAGCCGAUGGAUACUGUGAAGCUAGAGUCCGGAAGAGGCGAGUGGAAUUCCUGGUGUAGCGGUGGAAUGCGCAGAUAUCAGGAGGAACACCAAUAGCGAAGGCAGCUCGCUGGGACGGUACUGACACUAAGGCGCGAAAGCGUGGGGAGCGAACAGG
rnacentral:rRNA from 1 species